rnacentral:rRNA from 1 species
ACCUCAAAUCAGGUAAGAAUACCCGCUGAACUUAAGCAUAUCAAUAAGCGGAGGAAAAGAAAAUAACAAUGAUUCCCUCAGUAACGGCGAGCGAAGAGGGAUAAGCUCAAAUUUUAAAUCUGUUGGGUUUCACCUAACAGAGUUGUAUUUUGAAGAAACGUUUUCUGCGUCCAGGAUUAGCCUAAAUCCUUUGGGAUAAGGUAUCAUGGAGGGUGAGAAUCCCGUUCAUGGUUAAUCUUAAGGAUGCUCUACGAUACGUUCUCCAAGAGUCGAGUUGUUUGGGAUUGCAGCUCAAAAUGGGAGGUAAAUUUCUCCUAAGGCUAAAUAUUGGCGAGAGACCGAUAGCGAACAAGUACCGUGAGGGAAAGAUGAAAAGAACUUUGAAAAGAGAGUUAAACAGUACGUGAAAUUGUUGAAAGGGAAACGAUUGAAGUCAGUCAUACCAACGGGAAAUCAACCUCUUGAGUUUGGUCUCGUGGGUUUCGAAGAGUUUAAAAGCCUUCGGAUUUUCGAGAUUGGGCUCUUCUGGUGUACUUUCUCGUACGGUUAGUCAACAUCGGUUUUGAAUGUCAUAAAAUGACUGGAGGAAUGUGGCUUCGAUCUCGUAUUGAAGUGUUAUAGCCUUUGGUAGAUGUGAUGUUCGAGACCGAGGAUUGCAACGGAUACCCUUCUGGGCUAUUCGUCUGAUCUCUGAAACGUUGCCUUGAUGUCGAAAGCUUGCUUAUGAUGUUAGGGUAUUACGGUCAAAAGGUUAGAACGGAUUAAAUUCGUUAAGGAUGUUGACGUAAUGACUUUAAACGACCCGUCUUGAAACACGGACCA